rnacentral:rRNA from 1 species
UACGUAGGGGGCAAGCGUUGUCCGGAAUUAUUGGGCGUAAAGCGCGCGUAGGCGGUUAUUCAAGUCGGAUGUGAAAGCCCUCGGCUUAACUGAGGAAGUGCACCCGAAACUGAGUAGCUAGAGUACCAAAGAGGGUCGCGGAAUUCCCGGUGUAGAGGUGAAAUUCGUAGAUAUCGGGAGGAACACCGGUGGCGAAGGCGGCGACCUGGGUGGAUACUGACGCUGAGGCGCGAAAGCGUGGGGAGCAAACAGG